rnacentral:tRNA from 1 species
UCCUCCUUAGCUCAGCUGGUUAGAGCAUCUGACUGUUGAUGAGAGCCCCGAUAGCUAUCGGGGUUGGUUCGAGCCGGGGAGGGA